GGCCUGGUGGUGUAGUGGUAACACAUCCUCUAUAUAUACUGGAGUGUGAAUCUUCUGAGGAAGUCCCCUGUUCAACUCAGGGUCAGGCCA